rnacentral:rRNA from 1 species
AAAUUGAAGAGUUUGAUCAUGGCUCAGAUUGAAUGCUGGCGGCAGGCCUAACACAUGCAAGUCGAACGGUAACAGGAAACAGCUUGCUGUUUCGCUGACGAGUGGCGGACGGGUGAGUAAUGUCUGGGAAACUGCCUGAUGGAGGGGGAUAACUACUGGAAACGGUAGCUAAUACCGCAUAACGUCGCAAGACCAAAGAGGGGGACCUUCGGGCCUCUUGCCAUCGGAUGUGCCCAGAUGGGAUUAGCUAGUAGGUGGG